GCCUGGGUGGCUCAGUCGUUAAGCAUCUGACUUCGACUCAGGUCACGAUCUCACGGUUCAGUUCGUGAGUUCAAGUCCCACAUUGGGUG
rnacentral:tRNA from 1 species